UAGUUAUCGCAGCUACAAUACU
rnacentral:siRNA from 1 species